GACCCAUAGACACAGUUUGACUGGCUGCCCCACUCUCCUGCCAUCAGAUCUUCCCUGCUGUGCUGAACUGUUUACCUUCAAACUGUGAGCCAAGAAAAGAAAAGGAAGACACCAGUAAUAGCACCAGAUAAUAAUUGCCCAAGAUCUUGAAGCUUCUGAGUGAGAGGUACAUUUCCGAAAACGUUGGGGAAACCUCAACUAAUGCCUGUGGAAGGAAUAACCAGUGGACAGAAACUCAGGUAGAAAAAUCACAGGAAGGAAAACAAAGACUCCAUUGCAAGUUUGAACAAAAUGUUGGAAUCAACUAGUUUGAGUAGAACAUGAAAUGUAACCAGCUUGUACACUGGUAAAUACUGUGACCCUUGUAAAAUGAAGUGGCAAGACACAAUGUGAUGGUUUGAAUGAGAAUGAUCCCCCUAGACUUACACAUUUGAA